GACGAACGCUGGCGGCGUGCUUAACACAUGCAAGUCGAACGGAAAGGCCCUGCUUGCAGGGUGCUCGAGUGGCGAACGGGUGAGUAACACGUGGGUGAUCUGCCCCUUACUUUGGGAUAAGCCUGGGAAACUGGGUCUAAUACUGGAUAGGACCAUGCUGUAGGUGGAGGGGUGGAAAGAGUAGUUUCGGUACGGGAUGAGCUCGCGGCCGAUCAGCUUGUUGGUGGGGUAAUGGCCUACCAAGGCGUCGACGGGUAGCCGGCCUGAGAGGGUGGACGGCCGCAUUGGGACUGUGCUACGGCCCAGAGUCCUGCGGGAGGCAGCAGUGGGGAAUAUUGCACGAUGGGCGCAAGCCUGAUGGAGCGACGCCGCGUGAGGGAUGACGGCCUUCGGGUUGUAAACUCCUUUCAGCCAUGACGAAGCCCUUGUGGUGACGGUAGUGGUAGAAGAAGCACCGGCUAACUACGU
rnacentral:rRNA from 1 species